rnacentral:lncRNA from 1 species
CAAAUUUUACCAAUGUUCUUUCUGUCUACGGACUUGGAAAAACAAAUGAAAUUUUAUUCAACCAAAAGGAAUAGGCGUUUUCUCUUUGCAGUGGAGUUGGGUAAACAGUCAGCGAAAGAAAUAUUCGCAUUUUUUCUCCAAGCUCUUACCUAAGUAGCACUCCUGAAUAAAGGCCUGCAGAUAGGGUAAUUCUCACUACAGUGGUGUCAAGUGAAAACCUCCUACUAAUUGAGUCCCCUCACUGAGAUCCAGAGGAGAAACCUGGAG